GGACUCAUAGUGUAGCCUGGUUUAACACGCCUCCCUGUCACGGAGGAGAUCAGGGGUUCAAAUCCCCUUGAGUCCG
rnacentral:tRNA from 1 species